rnacentral:rRNA from 1 species
AUGCGGACGACCACCAUUGAGGAUUUGCCUGCCGACGUGCUGGCCUGCGCGCUGCGCCGCCUCGACGGCCCGUCCCUGGCCGCCGCGAGCUGUGCUACGGCAGGUCUCCGCGCCAUCGCCGCGGACCCGGCGACGUGGCGCGCCCUCUGCCUCGCACAGUGGCCGUCGCUGGACCUGGAGACCCUGCAGCAGCACAACAUCCUUGGCUCUGCGGCCGUCUCUCCACCACGCCUCUUCGCCGACGCCUUCCCCUUCCCGUCCACUUCCACUUCCACGGAAGCCGCGGCCGAUCAGUGUCUCCCCGGUGAGCUGAUCUCCGCCGUGGACGUGUACCACACUGAGAAUGGAGCGCCCCGGCCCCUCUUCUCACGGGUCGUGGAGACCUCCACGUCGUCCUCGUGGUUCCUGGCCUCGCCCUUCCGCGUGGACGCCGUCGAGUGCAAGGACCCGGUACGGAUGGCCUCGGCCUCGUUCUCUCCGGCGGAGCUGGAGCUGAGCUGGAUCGUGGUGGACCCCCGGAGCGGGCGGGCGGUGAACGUGUCGAGCCGGCGGGCGGUGGCCGUGGACAGGCACUGGUACACGGGCGAGACGCUGGUGCGGUACGCGGUGGUGCUCGGCGGGAGCAAGUUCGAGGCCACGAUCACCUGCUCGGAGGAGGCCGGAUGCCUUAACCUCAGGGAGGUCAGCCUGACCGUCGAGGACGCCGACGGCGCGGCAGUGAGCGGCGAAGGCAGCCUGCGGCUCCUUGCGGCUGCGAUGGAAGCACCGAGGAGCAAAGCAGGGGAGAGGGAAAGAGAAGAGGCCAAGAGGAGGUACGAGGAGUUCGUGAGGAGCAAGAGGGGGCGGAAGGAGUCCAAGGCAAGGCGGGAGGUGCUCGUCGACUUGUGCUGCUCCGCCGUCAGCGCCGUCGCCGUGCUCAGCUUCCUCGCCUCCGUCGCGCUACGCUAG